rnacentral:rRNA from 1 species
GAUGAACGCUAGCGGCAGGCUUAAUACAUGCAAGUUGAGGGGCAGCAUGAUAUACGCGAGUAUAUUGAUGGCGACCGGCGGACGGGUGAGUAAUAGGUAGGAGGCCUACCUCAUACAGGGGGAUAGCAUAGAGAAAUCUGUGGUAAUACCCCAUGAGGUUAUAUGAAUAGAGGCAUAUAAUCAAAGCAUAAGCGAUUAUGCGGUAUGAGAGGGGCCUACUGACCAUUAGCUAGUUGGUGAGGUAAGGGCUCACCAAGGCGAAGAUGGUUAGGGGUUUUGAGAGAGAGACCCCCCACAUUGGAACUGAGAGACGGUCCAGACUCCUACGGGAGGCAGCAGUAGGGAAUAUUGGGCAAUGGGCGAAAGCCUGACCCAGCCAUGCCGCGUGAAGGAAGACGGCCUUAUGGGUUGUAAACUUCUUUACUACGCGAAUAGAGGUUAGUACGAGAUACUAAUAGGAAGGUAGUGUAGUAAAAAGCACCGGCUAACUCCGUG